GCUAGAAUAGCUCAGCUGGUUAGAGUGUUUGGCCCUUAACCACAAGGUCACAGGUUCAAUCCCUUGUUUCUAGGG